AACGAACGCUGGCGGCAUGCCUAACACAUGCAAGUCGAACGAGACCUUCGGGUCUAGUGGCGCACGGGUGCGUAACGCGUGGGAACCUGCCCUUAGGUUCGGAAUAACUCCCCGAAAGGGGUGCUAAUACCGGAUAAUGUCUUUGGACCAAAGAUUUAUCGCCUUUGGAUGGGCCCGCGUUGGAUUAGCUAGUUGGUAGGGUAAAAGCCUACCAAGGCGACGAUCCAUAGCUGGUCUGAGAGGAUGAUCAGCCACACUGGGACUGAGACACGGCCCAGACUCCUACGGGAGGCAGCAGUGGUGAAUAUUGGACAAUGGGCGAAAGCCUGAUCCAGCAAUGCCGCGUGAGUGAUGAAGGCCUUAGGGUUGUAAAGCUCUUUUACCCGGGAUGAUAAUGACAGUACCGGGAGAAUAAGCUCCGGCUAACUCCGUG
rnacentral:rRNA from 1 species